rnacentral:lncRNA from 10 species
GAUUUUUAUUUUUGCAGGGCAGAGUAUUCUAAUAUGUUGGUCAAUUUGGAAACUUUGCAAAUUUUUUCAGGCACCAUCUGUAUUAGUUUCCUAUGGCUGCUGUAACAAAUUAUCACAAAGUUGGUGACUUAAAGCAACAUACACUUAUUCUCUUACAGUUCUGGUGGCCAGGGUCAGCAGUGGGUUUCACUGGAACCAUCAAAUACUGGGGGCUGGAGAGGAAGCAUGUUAUACAGCACUCUUGUAAUAAUUGAUAAUGGUUACAAUCUACAUAACAAAUUUAAAUCCCUAUAUAAAAUGUGGUAUUCUGUUUUUCCUUAAUGGACACUGAUUAAUACACCAACUAUCUGAAGUGUAAAAGUUUGUAAUUAUUUUUAUAGACAAAGUUUAGAGAACCUUGACAGAAUUUUGACAUCUUUCUCUGCAAGGUUUAAUGUACAGCUAAAAUGAUUUCAUAGUUAAGGGGUCUUUUUUAGAAGAAAGGUAUAUUUAAUAUUCCACACUGAAGACGUAGCAGUCAUGAGGUCUUUUUUGCCGUCUGGUCUGACUUAGGUUCAGGACAAUAAAGGGGGCAGGUAAUCUAUAACAAAGAUCAGUGAUUGGAAGGGGAAGAGGUCUGGUCUCUGGUCUCUCCUAGUCACUUAAGGGAUCUUGAGUAAUGAUCACAACCUCCUGGGGGUUCUCAUGUCACCUACAGAAGUCACCCAUCGAAAGCAAUUGGUACCUGCCCUCAAGCCACACACUGUUUAGUUACUUAGGUGCGGAUAGUCCUCUACCCCCAGGACUCAUAAUUGAGAGGAUAGUGCCAUGGUUAAGGGCAUGGACUGUGGCGUCAGAAACACCAGAUGUAAACCCUUACUCUACAGUUCUCUAGCUGUAUGGUUCUGAAUCAUUUGAUUGAUGUCACCAAAUCACAAUUUCCUCACCUUUAAAAUAGGGAUAAUAAUUUCUUUCUAACAGGCUGUUAAAGGAUCGAUGAGAAAAUGCUUGUGCAGCACUGCACACCAGGACCGGCACAAAGCAAGAUAAUGAGCGAGGCAUUUUUUUUUCUUGGCUCCUGUCCUUUAGUCUGCCUGCCCAAAACUGACAUCUAAAACAGGCAAGCUGGGAGCCACAGGCCCUAUCUCUCAUCUAACCACAACCUAAAAACUUCAUCAAGUGGAAUAGUAACAGGUUGAAGGUCCAAGGUUAUUCUGAAGUCUAAAAUAGGUAGUAUUGUGUAUUGUGUGUAGUUAAGUUUUGUUGGUAGACUUUGACAGCUUUGGUGUCUGGAUCCCUCUAAUAUGUGUAUCAUCCCUAGAGUGAAACAACACUUUCCUGCCUUUUUGUAAGGAGGUGGGCAUAUGAUCUGCUCUGGCCAGUGGAAUGUAGGUAGAAAGUGAUCUAUACCACUUCCAGCUACAGCCUCAGGAAACCUCCCGUCAACACUGGGACCUCGGUAUGGGGCAAAUUUCAGGAGGAAAAGAAUAAAAGGAAUAAAAGUUAAGUCCUCCAGUAUUUUUUGGCAGAAAGGUGAGGAGCAAAGUUCCAAUGACUCAGGAUCAGUGAUAGAAGUUGUUGGUCCAUGGGGAAAAGAAUUGGGCAUCUCCAGCUCUGUGAUCUUUCUUCCAGGCCCUUGACCUGCCACCAGCAUUUUACAUACCCACGCAUACACACACAAUUAUAUUCCCCAAAAAUACUCCCCAAAGAGGAUUUCCAGAGUGCUUUUAGAUCCUUUGACAUUUCCAACCUCUCCUCCAGUGAUUUAAAAAAAAAAUCUUCACUAGAAUCAUAAUGUCUCUGGUAUUUCUUUUCAAGAAAUUCCAAUCACAUAAUUGAACAGGGUUGAGUUGUAGGAGAGGGUUAAGAAGAACAGGCUCUCUGAGUGACAGUCACACUCAGGCGCCAUCUGGCUGCAACCCACUGUAUCAACAGCCAAACCAUGAGGUCCACACAGGUUACACUGGCGGGUACGCAGAGGCAGGGACAUCUAUCUAGUAGCAAGGCGCCUCACUGUGCAGAUCUGGGCACAUAGCUUCAUCGGAAUUCCUCCCACACCAGCCUCAAACAAGCUGCCCUUUACUGAGUGAGGUUUUCAGGGGAUGCAGGUAGGAAAAGAUUAAACAGUGAAUAACUUUAUUUAUUAUUCCUAACCCAUAGCCAUCUCGGAGGGCUGGAAUAGCUCCCUGGCUCCCUGGGUCUCAGAGAUGCCUAUAGGUCUAGGCUGUGGGUACGCCUGUGGUUUGGGGUUUGUUCUGCUUUCAUUGUGAGCCAAACCUCCAACAAUCCCUACACCCUGGGUGGUUACUAUUGAUUUUUUUUUUUUUUUUUUUUUUGAGACGGAGUCUCGCUCUGUCGCCCAGGCCGGACUGUGGACUGCAGUGGCGCAAUCUCGGCUCGCUGCAAGCUCCACUUCCCGGGUUCACGCCAUUCUCCUGCCUGAGCCUCCCGAGUAGCUGGGACUACAGGCUCCCGCCACAGCGCCCGGCUAAUUUUUUGUAUUUUUAGUAGAGACGGGGUUUCACCUUGUUAGCCAGGAUGGUCUCGAUCUCCUGACCUCAUGAUCCACCCGCCUCGGCCUCCCAAAGUGCUGGGAUUACAGGCGUGAGCCACCGCGCCCGGCCGGUUACUAUUGAUUUAUGCUGGCUGCAAAACAACAGACUGACGCGACAAAGUGAAUGCAAGUGUGGCAGCAUACUAAUGCCAGGCCUAGGAUGUUUCUGUCAUAAGGAAUAUGACAUAAGGAAUAUGGAGUGCAGACUGGGCGGGCUCCCAAUUAAGUAUUUGAUGACGAUUAGUUGAUUCGCUUGUAAGAUUUUGGAGGUUUGUGGGCUCUCUGCAUCGCUGGAUUUGCCUUUGUCCUUGUCAAGUGGUAAUUAUGGAGCACUGUUAACAUGCCUCAGAGGGCAGCCCUCCCACAACACACCCGCUCUUCUGACUUCCAGGGUCCUUCUCACAUUUGCCACUGUAAGAAUUGGGUAUUUUCUUCACUGUCUAAUUUUUCCCAAAACACACACCAGUGAAAGAAGAAAAAUCUCGGUACCCUCUUACCUCCCCAAUGCUACAGUCUCUCACCUCUGCGUAUUUCACGUGCUCUUUCCUCAGUUCUUAUGACUUCCCUAUCUCAUCCAUCUGAGCCUUCAAGACUCAGGACAGGGGUCCCUCAACUGCUCAUGAGGCCAACACUUCUCCUGUUGGAUGCCCUUCACUGUGCUUUGCCUGCAGCACCUGCAAACGCCUCCAUCAUAACUAUUGUAGCACAAGUGCCAUUAUUCUAGAUUUACAAAUACCUUCCCGCUGGGAGCCACCAAAAGGACAAAUUAAAAACUAUUUAUCCUUGAGUCUUCACAUGCAGUAAUCAGAAGAGAUAUUUGUUCAAUCAAAACAUUGUUAAAUGCCAAAAUGUGAAUUUCAGAGACAGACUGACCUGACAUUGGCAAGUUACCUAACUCUUUCCAUCCAAAUUGUCUCAUAGAUCCUUCAACUCUGAAAUUAAUCUAUUCUGAGAUAAAUAUCCUAAUUGCCCAGAGUGUAAAACACUUGGAGCUUAAAAUAGUCAGAUUGAAACCUGACAUCUAAAUAACUAACUUGAUGGGUCAUGUGACAUGAUGCAGAAGUGUGUGGCCAGGAGAUGACCUUACCUUCUUCCUCAGGGUUGGUGCCUUUUAAACAAUGAGGAUGCCUAUUUUUUAAUCUUUUCAAAGAUACAACUACCACAUUCUAAAUCUACUCAGGUACUAAGAAAGAUUAUUGUAAUUAAAAAGAGAAUCUAGCACAAUAUUUUUUGAACUUUUUGAUCACAGCCCUGACAUUUUACAUCUCAAACCAAUAAAAGUAAAAUAAAACUUUUAUAACACAUACAUACAUACUUAUAUUUCUUAUGAUGCCCUCUGGUAUGUUUGUUCUAGAAGAUAAUCCUAUUCUCUUCUAUUUCAUUUUUAAAGAAAUACUGAUUGUAAAUCUGCAAAGGGUCUAUACUUUAGUUGUGGCAAUAUCAAUUGCCUGGUUUUGAUGAUGCACUGUGGCUAUAUAAGACAUUAUCUUUGGGGGAAGCUGGGUGAAGGGCACACAAGAAUGCUCA